rnacentral:rRNA from 1 species
GACGUAGGGCGCGAGCGUUGUCCGGAUUUAUUGGGCGUAAAGAGCUCGUAGGCGGCUUGUCGCGUCGACUGUGAAAACCCGAGGCUCAACCUCGGGCCUGCAGUCGAUACGGGCGGACUGGAGUUCGGCAGGGGAGACUGGAAUUCCUGGUGUAGCGGUGAAAUGCGCAGAUAUCAGGAGGAACACCGAUGGCGAAGGCAGCCAUCUGGACCGACACUGACGCUGAGGCGCGAAAGUGUGGGGAGCAAACAGG